rnacentral:rRNA from 1 species
AUGGCUGUCGUCAGCUCCGUGUCGUGAGAUGUUGGGUUAAGUCCCGUAACGAGCGCAACCCUUGUCCUUAGUUACCAGCACGUUAUGGUGGGCACUCUAAGGAGACUGCCGGUGACAAACCGGAGGAAGGUGGGGAUGACGUCAAGUCAUCAUGGCCCUUACGGCCUGGGCUACACACGUGCUACAAUGGUCGGUACAAAGGGUUGCCAAGCCGCGAGGUGGAGCUAAUCCCAUAAAACCGAUCGUAGUCCGGAUCGCAGUCUGCAACUCGACUGCGUGAAGUCGGAAUCGCUAGUAAUCGUGAAUCAGAAUGUCACGGUGAAUACGUUCCCGGGCCUU